rnacentral:rRNA from 1 species
GACGAACGCUGGCGGCGUGCUUAACACAUGCAAGUCGAACGGUGAAGCGCCUUCCUUUUUGGUGGGUGUGGAUGAGUGGCGAACGGGUGAGUAACACGUGAGUAACCUGCCCCCUUCUUCUGGAUAACCGCAUGAAAGUGUGGCUAAUACGGGAUAUUCUGGGUCUGUCGCAUGAUGGGUCUGGGAAAGAUAUUGUUUCGGUGGGGGAUGGGCUCGCGGCCUAUCAGCUUGUUGGUGGGGUGAUGGCCUACCAAGGCGGUGACGGGUAGCCGGCCUGAGAGGGUGGACGGUCACACUGGGACUGAGACACGGCCCAGACUGCUACGGGAGGCAGCAGUGGGGAAUAUGGAACAAUGGGCGAAAGCCUGAUGCAGCGACGCCGCGUGAGGGAUGGAGGCCUUCGGGUUGUGAACCUCUUUCGCCAGUGAAGCAGGCCUGCCUCGUUUGUGGGUGGGUUGACGGUAGCUGGAUAAGAAGCGCCGGCUAACUACGUG